rnacentral:rRNA from 1 species
UGAGUGAAGAAGGCCUUCGGGUUGUAAAGCUCUUUUGUCAGGGAAGAAACGGCCCAGGCUAAUAUCCUGGGCUAAUGACGGUACCUGAAGAAUAAGCACCGGCUAACUACGUGCCAGCAGCCGCGGUAAUACGUAGGGUGCAAGCGCUAAUCGGAAUUACUGGGCGUAACGCGUGCGCAGGCGGUUUUGUAAGUCUGUCGUGAAAGCCCCGGGCUUAACCUGGGAAUUGCGAUGGAGACUGCAAGGCUUGAAUCUGGCAGAGGGGGGUAGAAUUCCACGUGUAGCAGUGAAAUGCGUAGAGAUGUGGAGGAACACCGAUGGCGAAGGCAGCCCCCUGGGUCAAGAUUGACGCUCAUGCACGAAAGCGUGGGGAGCAAACAGGAUUAGAUACCCUGGUAGUCCACGCCCUAAACGA